rnacentral:lncRNA from 1 species
GACUCGGUCUACUAUCACCCUACUCUAAAUCCAACUGGAGCUCCUCCUCCUGGAAAACCUCCUAUGUUUAAGUCAUCCAUUGGUGUGUAUAAUUCACUUCUCUAGUGAGUUUAAUGUUGCUUUCCGUGUGUGCGUCUCUCUGAUACUAUUCAUGCUUCAAACUACAGGAUCUCGAGUACCAUUAUCUGCGGCUUCAUCAAGCGGUACAGCAUCAUCAUCACAGUUGGAUGGAGAAGAUGGCAGCUUAUCAACUCUUCCUCCACCACCUCCACCACCUCCAUUGCCCCAGAGUGGUGAUGCAGAUUCUGUGGAUGUGUCUGCGAUGCCUGCAUCUUUACCUUUACCACCUCCACCUCCUAUGCCCCCAAAGCCCGUGACAGAAAUGAGCACUUCAUUGCCACUGCCUCCUUUGCCCCCACCACCUCCUGGUCCCCCACCAAAGGAACAGGUUGCCGUUCACCUUCCACUUCCUCCACCUCCCGCACCUCCCCUUCAGCCAUCUGCUCAACCUCCUCCCCCCGGCACUGGUGGAAGUGAAAGGGAUAGAAAUAACCUGGACAAUCCAGCUUCAGUAGAACUAAUGCCGGUAGUCUUGUCUUCUCACUAACUUAUUUAAAAUAUAUGUUCGAGGGAGUUCCUCUUUGGAAUUCCUGGAUAUGUAUAUAAUGUUUAUUUUCUAGUGAUGAUCUCUUUGCUUUUUCAUGGGUCCACUGUGCUUGCUCAGCCUCCUCUUCCACCGGGCUUGCCAUUGAAGUCAGAUGGCACAUCUGUUGAAUCUGAUGCUAAAGCUUCCUCAGAGUCGAAAGAUCAUGUUAGAUUGCCACCGCCACCUCCACCACCUCCAAGGCAACAGCCUUCAGUUCCUGGAGCUGCCAUGGUCCCAACUUUGCAUCAUGAUGUAUUACCUCCUGGACUUCCUCGGUUCCCUCCACCCCCACCCCCGACUGACAUGCGGCCACCACCUGGAAUUGCCGGCCAGCUUGCUCCACCUGGAGUCAUGCUCUCACUUAUGCCAAGACCACCUUUCGGACCUCCUCCUGGUCCUCCACCAAUGAUGAGACCGCCACUUCCGCCUGGUCCCCCUCCUUAUCUACAAGAUGGUGCCAGACCACUUGCCACUCAGAAGCCAUCAUAUGUUAAAUCAGCUGCUUCAACCGUUGUUAAGAGGCCUCUAGCUCAGCAUACACCAGAACUU